rnacentral:tRNA from 1 species
GCAAAAACGUGAGUAGGCACUACCCUGUCAGGGCUUUGAACCCUGACAGGGUUGGCUUGUCUUUUCGAUUCGUUCGGGUUGGGUGUUUCCGUG